UACAGAGGUCUCAAGCGUUGUUCGGAUUCAUUGGGCGUAAAGGGUGCGUAGGUGGCGGGGUAAGUCAGUUGUGAAAUUUCGGAGCUUAACUCCGAAACUGCAUUUGAUACUGCCUUGCUUGAGGACUGGAGAGGAGACUGGAAUUCACGGUGUAGCAGUGAAAUGCGUAGAGAUCGUGAGGAAGACCAGUGGCGAAGGCGGGUCUCUGGACAGUUCCUGACACUGAGGCACGAAGGCCAGGGGAGCAAACGGG
rnacentral:rRNA from 1 species